CAAGGGGUAGUUUGAAUAAAAAUAUUAGUUUUGGGAAUUAAAGAUAGGAAGUUGUCUCCUCUCCUUGA
rnacentral:tRNA from 1 species